rnacentral:rRNA from 1 species
UACGUAGGGGGCUAGCGUUGUCCGGAAUCAUUGGGCGUAAAGCGCGUGUAGGCGGCCCGGUAAGUCCGCUGUGAAAGUCGAGGGCUCAACCCUCGAAAGCCGGUGGAUACUGUCGGGCUCGAGUGCGGGAGAGGCGAGUGGAAUUCCCGGUGUAGCGGUGAAAUGCGCAGAUAUCGGGAGGAACACCAAUGGCGAAGGCAGCUCGCUGGGACGUGACUGACGCUGAGACGCGAAAGCGUGGGGAGCAAACAGG